rnacentral:rRNA from 1 species
GAUGAACGCUGACAGAAUGCUUAACACAUGCAAGUCUACUUGAAUUUGGGUUUUUAACUUAGAUUUGGGUGGCGGACGGGUGAGUAACGCGUAAAGAACUUGCCUCACAGCUAGGGACAACAUUUAGAAAUGAAUGCUAAUACCUAAUAUUAUGAUAAUAGGGCAUCCUAUAAUUAUGAAAGCUAUAUGCGCUGUGAGAGAGCUUUGCGUCCCAUUAGCUAGUUGGAGAGGUAACGGCUCACCAAGGCGAUGAUGGGUAGCCGGCCUGAGAGGGUGAUCGGCCACAAGGGGACUGAGACACGGCCCUUACUCCUACGGGAGGCAGCAGUGGGGAAUAUUGGACAAUGGACCGAGAGUCUGAUCCAGCAAUUCUGUGUGCACGAUGAAGUUUUUCGGAAUGUAAAGUGCUUUCAGUUGGGAAGAAAGAAAUGACGGUACCAACAGAAGAAGUGACGGCUAAAUACGUGCCAGCAGCCGCGGUAAUACGUAUGUCACGAGCGUUAUCCGGAUUUAUUGGGCGUAAAGCGCGUCUAGGUGGUUAUAUAAGUCUGAUGUGAAAAUGCAGGGCUCAACUCUGUAUUGCGUUGGAAACUGUAUAACUAGAGUACUGGAGAGGUAAGCGGAACUAUAAGUGUAGAGGUGAAAUUCGUAGAUAUUUGUAGGAAUGCCGAUGGGGAAGCCAGCUUACUGGACAGAUACUGACGCUGAAGCGCGAAAGCGUGGGUAGCAAACAGGAUUAGAUACCCUGGUAGUCCAAGGGCGAAUUCCACAGUGGAUAUCAAGCUUAUCGAUACCGUCGACCUCGAGGGGGGGCCCGGUACCCAGCUUUUGUUCCCUCUG